rnacentral:rRNA from 1 species
CCUACGGGUGGCAGCAGUGGGGAAUAUUGCACAAUGGGGGAAACCCUGAUGCAGCCAAGCAGCGUGAGUGAAGACGUAUUUCGGUAUGUAAAGCUCUAUCAGUAGGGAAGAAAAUGACGGUACCUGAGUAAGAAGCCACGGCUAACUACGUGCCAGCAGCCGCGGUAAUACGUAGGGGGCAAGCGUUAUCCGGAUUUACUGGGUGUAAAGGGAGCGUAGACGGCGAUACAAGUCUGAAGUGAAAGCCCGGGGCUCAACCCCGGGACUGCUGUGGAAACUGGGUUGCUGGAGUGCUGGAGAGGCAAGCGGAAUUUCUAGUGUAGCGGUGAAAUGCGUAGAUAUUAGGAAGAACACCAGUGGCGAAGGCGGCUUGCUGGACAGUAACUGACGUUGAGGCUCGAAAGCGUGGGGAGCAAACAGGAUUAGAUACCCUUGUAGUC